ACCUGGCCUUGUGGUGUGCCUGCCACAGUUCCUUAGCUUUCAUGCUGCCAAUCCCUGUUAUACCCCUGCAUCCCCUAGGCAGACCUUUCAUAGAGGUCCAAGUUUCUAAGACUACUCCAUACCUGUGAUUACACAGGCCCUUCUCUCCACAGGCCCAGGAGAUCCAGUAUCUCGUGUCUACUCCAGGCAGAACCUCAUCUAGAGCAUGUAACUGGUACGAGCAGUUGGCACACAAGGGAGAGCUGCUAGGCUAUGGAACAGUGACAGACAUUAUCUGCCAUGAUUAAACCCUCUGAACAAGCACAAAGCUCAAAGGAGAAGAAUUUAUUAAACUUGUGCUCUCCAAUCUAGUCUCCUUGCUCGGAGGAAGCCUGAAGCAGUGCCCGUUAACAGUCUGGACGGCAAGAGAUCAUUUUCAUCUUACAAAAAUAUCUUACGAGACGACAGACGCUCAAUGAAAGAUGACAACCUGGCAAUGUACAACAUGCUGUUUCAGAAUUGUGGAAAGCUCUAACUCCCUUUGUGAACAGUAAUUCCGCAGUGUGACAAAGACAGUUACAAUAUUUAAAGACACAGACAACCCUUAUCAAGGUUAUGUACUUUCAUAGUAACUCUGCUUCAGAUUUUGAUGGUGGAAUGUAACUCAAAUUUCAAAAAUAUGUGAUAGAAAAUUCAAAAGAAUCACAGUAGCAUUACAGCACUGACUCCAGUGCUGCAAAAAUGCAAAUUAAA